rnacentral:rRNA from 1 species
GUGGGGAAUAUUGGACAAUGGGCGCAAGCCUGAUCCAGCCAUGCCGCGUGUGUGAAGAAGGUCUUCGGAUUGUAAAGCACUUUAAGUUGGGAGGAAGGGCAGUAAGUUAAUACCUUGCUGUUUUGACGUUACCAACAGAAUAAGCACCGGCUAACUUCGUGCCAGCAGCCGCGGUAAUACGAAGGGUGCAAGCGUUAAUCGGAAUUACUGGGCGUAAAGCGCGCGUAGGUGGUUUUGUAAGUUGGAGGUGAAAUCCCCGGGCUCAACCUGGGAACUGCCUCCAAAACUGCAUGACUAGAGUACGGUAGAGGGUAGUGGAAUUUCCUGUGUAGCGGUGAAAUGCGUAGAUAUAGGAAGGAACACCAGAGGCGAAGGCGACUACCUGGACUGAUACUGACACUGAGGUGCGAAAGCGUGGGGAGCAAACAGGAUUAGAAACCCGGGUAGUCC